rnacentral:rRNA from 1 species
GAUGAACGCUGGCGGCGUGCCUAAUACAUGCAAGUCGAGCGAACAGAUAAGGAGCUUGCUCCUUUGACGUUAGCGGCGGACGGGUGAGUAACACGUGGGUAACCUACCUAUAAGACUGGAAUAACUCCGGGAAACCGGGGCUAAUGCCGGAUAACAUUUAGAACCGCAUGGUUCUAAAGUGAAAGAUGGUUUUUCUAUCACUUAUAGAUGGACCCGCGCCGUAUUAGCUAGUUGGUAAGGUAACGGCUUACCAAGGCAACGAUACGUAGCCGACCUGAGAGGGUGAUCGGCCACACUGGAACUGAGACACGGUCCAGACUCCUACGGGAGGCAGCAGUAGGGAAUCUUCCGCAAUGGGCGAAAGCCUGACGGAGCAACGCCGCGUGAGUGAUGAAGGUCUUCGGAUCGUAAAACUCUGUUAUUAGGGAAGAACAAAUGUGUAAGUAACUGUGCACGUCUUGACGGUACCUAAUCAGAAAGCCACGGCUAACUACGUG